rnacentral:misc_RNA from 1 species
GCGACAGGAAGGAACAAUGGCGGUGGCCGGUGGAGGGAUCUUAUUUAGACGCCGCUACAUAGUUGUAGUACGAUGGGUGGGGGGGAGGCCGGGUGGUUGUCUCGUCAUCGCGGGUGGCUCAGUUGCAGCUGCAGCAGGAGCAGCCGCAGCUGGUGCCGCAGUUGCAGGUGUUGCAGUCGCAGCCGCCGCCCUCGGCGGCCGCCUCGAACCCGCCGGCGCUCGCCUUGGUGGCGGGGGCGGCGAGGACCGUGGGCUUCACGCUGGCGACGCCGGCGGUCUCCACGUCAGGGAACAUCUUGCAGCUGCACGAUCGAGGACGGAUGGGUCAUAUAUACAUACGCGUUCAGACAGAUUCACAGAUACGACCGUGGUCAUGAAUAUGGGUGUGUUUUACCCGCCGCAUCCGCUGCCGCAGUUGCAGCCGGAGGUGCACGCGCAGUUGCCGCCGCAGCAAGACAUGCUUUGAUGAGUCGAAGGAAAGAAAGGAGGACGGUGGGUGCUUGGCUCUGAUUGCUUUGCUUGUGAAUUGCGAUGGUGAGGAUGGCAGGGUGGGCGAGGAGGGGUAUAAAUAGGCGGCGGAGUGGACGGCAGGACGGGCGGGAAAGAAUGGACGCGGGCGAGCCAGGGACCACCACCUGCUCUGCUAAGCUGCUCGCUCAUCCGAUGAGAGACUGAAGCGCCUGCUACAGAUUCAUUAUUAAACUAAACUGAUGAGUCUCCUGGAUCAACGCCAACCUCUGCCGUCAUUUUCGUCUGCAGGAGGAGCACUUGGCUGCUGCGGAAUCAGAACCUUUGCCGCCCCGCCGCCGCCACCAACGAUGGAUGAUGAAUCGAGAGGCAUCAGAGACGCGAGCAUCCGGUAACAGCUAGUGAGCUGUCGAUGGAGCCAAGCAGGAGCGUGAGGAC